AAUCGCGAUCCGUGCAUUUUGCAAGUUUCCCGUGCCGGCGAGAUGGCGCCCGGCGAGGUCGCUCGGCCGCCGGCGACCUCCUCCAGCCCCGACGACAAGCAUCCGGUCUCUCCUCCCUCGGAUUCACGUCCCUUCUGCUGUCUCCAGCCUAGCGCCCGGGCCGCUCGAGGCCCUAGCUCCUCUGCGGCGGCAGCGCCGGCUGGCUUGAGACGGCGAGGGAGCCCAACGCCUCCGUUCGGUGAGGCGGCGCCACCGUGGGCCGUGGGCGGGCAGCUCUGCUCGCCGCCGCACCGCAACAACAGGCUGCGCCCUGCACAUCUCUGCCUCCAGGUAUUCGUCCAUGCUCCUCUGAACUCUAAACUCCACUUUGCCCUGUUCUGAACUCCAAUCUGAAGCUUGGCUCUGCAUUUUAUUGGCAUUGACUCCAGCAUUGAUUCUUUGCAGUUGAUCCGAUUACUCUGAUUUGUGAUAUGAUAGCUGAAAAUAACAUAAAUUCGUUUAGGAAUGCACUGAUGACUGCUUCAUUUUUUCGUACCUGUCAAAGAAAUUGUUCCAAUAAAUCCUGUCUGCAAGGCUUGGAGACUGAUACCUUGGAGAUCUCAAGUACCUCUGUAUUAUAGCAGUGUAGCUACUUGGUUUGCUCUCAGAGUCAAGAGUCAAGAACAAACUGUUGCUUAUAUUCAUUAUGUCAUAGUUGUUAGAGACGUUCUUUAUGCAGUAAGAAGUUGAUGACAUGUUCCGUUUCCAAAUUGGUGACCAAAUAUGCACUUUUCCAUAGAAAUGACUGUAUGGCUACCGAGACAUAUGAGGGUAGUUCUUCAGGAAAAUUAUGAACUCACUCAAACCAAAUCUCUAGGCUUAUUCACUUAUUCUAACUUUUCUGCAUUAUAUUGCCACCUACCGAGAAACAAACUCGUUUAGCUGGACAGAAUUUAGACAAGGACUUCAGAGAAGCUGCGGCUCAUGCCAUCAUCAUUUUUGUCAUCCUCUACUUUAGUACUUAAGGGACUUGUAUGAAGGCAUUGAGCGUAUGAACGCAUUGUAUUCUCAUCAUACUACCAUAUUUAAUUUUUGAGAAUGGAAAAUACUACUAUUACAAGAUGGUGUAAUGGGUCAAAAAUUGACUCAGAGGAGUUAUAUAAUGUAGAGCCCCUCUCCUUUUGUCGUGGUGGAUGGUCUUCGUUUUUCUUUGACUAAGCCUGCCACACAGCUGUCUGUAGAAGACUAGUAAAGCUUUUGCAGCUAUGGUCGACAUCUAACUGUUACCUUCUAGGUAAAAGCAAAAGGUGAUGUUUCAGUUAUCUCGGAAUCUGACAUUUUAGUUUGUGAAAAAAUAAUAAUUAUUUACUUGCCUUCAUUUGUGCAUCAUAGACUACCUAUUAAAUCCACCUGAUUCACAGCUUAACUUCGAGAGAUUAAUGUCUUCCCAUUCGGAAUGCUUGAAUAAAAUACAUACAAGUUGGACUCCUCACAAGAAGGUACUGCAAUGGAUAAAAGAUGAGCAGGGCUGGAAGCUGGACUCCACAUGAGUUGGUACUGCAAUGGAGAAGGGAGAAAAAUGGGCUUUUCAUCAUGUGAGAACUGAAGUCCUGUUUGAUCAAGUCUCUCCUCAAUUUGAUGGUGAUGGCUCCAGAGUCAAGAGCUGAGGUGGUACUGGCAGUAUUUCUUGACCACGUGGGAGUGGAAAAGCCAAUCAGAACAACCAGGCCAAGACAAAAGAAGUUUGAAAGGUCAAACCUUAAUCUUACUAUUACUAAUUGGAAGCUCCUUUUGAAGCCUCCAGGUGAAGCCACCUAGGAUUCCUAGGUGGACACUAGAGAGAAAUUCUAGAAAUUC